UGGGGAAUAUUGGACAAUGGGCGAAAGCCUGAUCCAGCCAUGCCGCGUGAGUGACGAAGGCCUUAGGGUUGUAAAGCUCUUUUGGCGGGGAAGAUAAUGACGGUACCCGCAGAAUAAGCUCCGGCUAACUUCGUGCCAGCAGCCGCGGUAAUACGAAGGGAGCUAGCGUUGUUCGGAAUCACUGGGCGUAAAGCGCACGUAGGCGGAUUGUUUAGUCAGGGGUGAAAUCCCGGGGCUCAACCUCGGAACUGCCUUUGAUACUGGCAAUCUCGAGUCCGAUAGAGGUGGGUGGAAUUCCUAGUGUAGAGGUGAAAUUCGUAGAUAUUAGAAGGAACACCGGUGGCGAAGGCGGCUAUCUGGACGACAACUGACGCUGAGGCGCGAAAGCGUGGGGAUCAAACAGGAUUAGAUACCCACGUAGUCCCUGAGCGGGCUGGCAAGGCGCAU
rnacentral:rRNA from 1 species